rnacentral:lncRNA from 1 species
CAUGGUCACCCAAGUUCAUUAGGACAGAAAAAUGAGGAGAGAUUUGUCCAGUGGAGGACAAGUGGAAGGGAGUCUUGGCAGGAGGGAACAACAUGUGUUAAUAUUUGGCAAGUUUGGGGGAGAAUGGUGAGUUCAUGGUGGUAAUAACCUGAGACAUGGGUCUUUAUACCCCAAUCCUGAGCCAUGGAGAAAGGAAGGAAGGGGAGUCCAGCUGGAUUCCAGGUGGGAAAAUGUAGACAGUUUAAUAUGGCUAGCACAGGGUGACAAAAACCUUGCAGUUCUGCCACCUCUGCAUCCAUGGCAGGCAUCACUAAUUGAUCACCGCAUUCUCCUUCCCACUGAACACUGAUUCAACCUCACAGCCCUCAACACAGUGCUCUGGGGCCAGUCAUUACCAACUGUCACACUGUGUGUACCUAGCUGGAGAUGAGGGUGGAGAUCACAUCAAGAGAAGCCUAGAAUUUGAGAGUAAGAAGUUGAAAUAUGAUUCUCUGGGUAAUAGGGAGCCAUCAGACACGAAGGGGAGUGAUGAAACGAAGACUAAGGCUUAGGAAGGUCACUGCCAGUGGAAGGGAGGAACUUGGGCAGGGAAACCAGUGAGGCCUGUGCCAACGUCCAGGCCAUGAACCUGAACCUGAACCAGGAGCAGAGAAGUAGGGCCUGGUGACCGAGGAGGUGUUGCGGGACAGGAAAAAGGAGAGGGCAGUUAGGAUGACUCCCUGACCUCUGGAUGUCUUACCCUGUGUCUGGGAAGAUGCUGUGGGCAAGGCGGGUGUAAAGGCACAAUGGGAGGUCCUGAUAGGAAUCUUCUGUUCCAGGGGUCACCAGUGAGAGCCACCCUGAGACUCUGUGCCCCUAGGGGGAGAAAGGCCAAAUCGGUCUGGUUGAGUUUUACCCUGAGAGACACCAGAAUUUGCACGCAUACACCUUUUCAGACAUAAAAAUGUCUUCUCUACCCCUCAGAACUCUGCAGAGCAGGGGAGACUUGAUCUGCUGACCAAGUCUGGGGGUGACUGUAAGAAGCGGGGACUCACAUGUCAUUCCCUGGCCAGACAUCUGCUCAGCCCCAGGGCCACCAGAUGGGGUUGUGGAGAGCAGUGCCAGGGAAAGGCCCCUGGGGUUCCGGUUCCUGGGAGACAUGGAGGUCUGGGAGCAGAAGCUAUGGGAGGGUGGCAGAAGAAUUCAGUUUGGGACCCCCUGACUUUGAGGGUCUGUGGCACAGCAUGGGGUGAAGGAUGCCAGAUCAGGGGCUCCCAGGAGAGAACUCUGGGAAGAAGCUGGAACUCUGGGAGUCGUCAGGAGGCAGCUGACACUGCAAGCCUCGGAGGGAGAGCGUAGAGGGAGAGAAGCGGCAGCAGGAAGAAAGAAGCCUUGGAGAAGCCGACACCGAGGGAAGGGAGGAAAACUAGGAACUCACCUAAGAGCCCCACAGCUGCCAGAUCCAGCUCCUGACUGUCUUCCGGGCCAGAUCUCCCCUCCGGCAGCAGACAAGAUGCAUCUCUCACCAAGC